ACGAAAAAUAAUUUUUCGUGGCGUACGGGUGAGUAAUACACAGGAAUCUGCCUUUUAGUUCAGGAUAAAAUUCUGAAUAACAAAAGAAAACUUUUCGCUAAAAGAUGAGCCUGUGUAGGAUUAGGUAGUUGGUAUUUGGGUAAAGGCCUACCAAGCCUAUGAUCCUUAGCUGUUCUGAGAGGUUGUACAGCCACACUGGGACUGAGACAAGGGCCAGGCUUCAUUUGGAGCCAGCAGUGAGGAAUUUUGGACAAUGAGCGAAAGCUUGAUCCAGCAAUACUACAUGAGUGAUGAAGGCUUUCAAGUUGUAAAACUCUUUGGUUGAGGAGGAUAAUGACAGUACUCAACAAAAUAGCCCCGGCUAACUUCGUGCCAGCAGCCGCGGUAAUACGAAGGGGGCGAGCGUUAUCCGGAAUGACUGGGCGUAAAGGGUCCGUAGGCAGCAUUUUUUGUUAGAGGUUAAAUAAAAAAGCUUAACUUUUUUCCGCUUCUAAAACGUAAAUGCUUUGAGUUUGAUAGGAGAUAGCAGAAUUUCACAUGGAGGGGUGAUAUCCGUAGAUAUGUGAAGGAAUACCAGAGGCGAAGGCGGCUAUCUAGAUCAAUACUGACGUUGAGGGACGAAAGCAUGGGGAGCAAACAGGAUUAGAUACCCUGGUAGUCCAUGCCCUAAAAGAUGAGUGCUCGUGCUUAGAUAUUUUUAGGCACUUAGUUAACACGUUAAGCACUCCGCCUGGGAGUACGACCGCAAGGUUGGAACUCAAAGGAAUUGACGGGGGCCUAUACAAGUGGUGGAGCAUGUGGUUUAAUGCGACAAUACGCGCGAAACCUUACCAGUUCUUGACAUAAAAAAGAAAAAGUUUGAAAGGACAAUUUUGAAGAUUUUUACAGGUGCUGCAUGG
rnacentral:rRNA from 1 species